rnacentral:rRNA from 1 species
GACAGAGGUGCCGAGCGUUAGGCGGAAUCACUGGGCUUAAAGCGUGUGUAGGCGGAUCGUUAAGUACCUUGUGAAAUCCCACGGCUUAACCGUGGAACUGCUGGGUAUACUGGCGAUCUUGAGGUGCUCAGGGGCGAGCGGAACAGAUGGUGGAGCGGUGAAAUGCGUAGAUAUCAUCUGGAACGCCUGCGGUGAAAACGGCUCGCUGGGAGCAAUCUGACGCUGAGACACGAAAGCCAGGGGAGCAAACGGG